rnacentral:rRNA from 1 species
GACGAACGCUGGCGGCGUGCUUAACACAUGCAAGUCGAACGGAAAGGCCCUGCUUUUGUGGGGUGCUCGAGUGGCGAACGGGUGAGUAACACGUGAGUAACCUGCCCUUGACUUUGGGAUAACUUCAGGAAACUGGGGCUAAUACCGGAUAGGAGCUCCUGCUGCAUGGUGGGGGUUGGAAAGUUUCGGCGGUUGGGGAUGGACUCGCGGCUUAUCAGCUUGUUGGUGGGGUAGUGGCUUACCAAGGCUUUGACGGGUAGCCGGCCUGAGAGGGUGACCGGCCACAUUGGGACUGAGAUACGGCCCAGACUCCUACGGGAGGCAGCAGUGGGGAAUAUUGCACAAUGGGCGGAAGCCUGAUGUAGCAACGCCGCGUGCGGGAUGACGGCCUUCGGGUUGUAAACCGCUUUCGCCUGUGACGAAGCGUGAGUGACGGUAAUGGGUAAAGAAGCACCGGCUAACUACGU